GGAGGGGGACAGGUGGUCGCCGCCCGGCACUCAACUUUUGCGAAAGACUUUCGCUUUGCGAGGUCUUUCCUUUGCAGGGGAUUCCUGGCGCAAGGAAUCUUUCCUGAAAGUCGAGUGCCGGGGGGAGGAAAGUCCGGGCUCCACAGGACAAGGUGCUGGGUAACACCCAGUCCCGGUGACGGGAAGGAAAGUGCCACAGAAAGGAAACCGCCCGGCACUCAACCUUUGCGAAAGAUUUUCACUUUACGAGGUCUUUCCUUUGCAGGGGACCCCUGGUGCAAGGGAUCUUGCCUGAAGGUUGAGUGCCGGGUAAGGGUGAAAGGGUGAGGUAAGAGCUCACCAGGCCUGCUGGUGACAGCAGGUGCUCGGUAAACCCCACCUGGAGCAAGACCAAAUAGGGGGGCGCUUGAGGAUGGUCCGUCCGAGCUCCCGGGUAGGUCGCUCGAUCCCGUUGGCAACAACGGGGCUAGAUGAAUGACCGCCACCCCGUAACGGGUGACCGUUUCGGGGAACAGAACCCGGCUUACGGCCCCCUCCAACA
rnacentral:RNase_P_RNA from 1 species